rnacentral:rRNA from 1 species
UGUACUUGGUGUUACUGCGAAGGGGGGACGGAGAAGGCUAUGUUGGCCGGGCGACGGUUGUCCCGGUUUAAGCGUGUAGGCUGGUUUUCCAGGCAAAUCCGGAAAAUCAAGGCUGAGGCGUGAUGACGAGGCACUACGGUGCUGAAGCAACAAAUGCCCUGCUUCCAGGAAAAGCCUCUAAGCAUCAGGUAACAUCAAAUCGUACCCCAAACCGACACAGGUGGUCAGGUAGAGAAUACCAAGGCGCUUGAGAGAACUCGGGUGAAGGAACUAGGCAAAAUGGUGCCGUAACUUCGGGAGAAGGCACGCUGAUAUGUAGGUGAAGUCCCUUGCGGAUGGAGCUGAAAUCAGUCGAAGAUACCAGCUGGCUGCAACUGUUUAUUAAAAACACAGCACUGUGCAAACACGAAAGUGGACGUAUACGGUGUGACGCCUGCCCGGUGCCGGAAGGUUAAUUGAUGGGGUCAGCGCAAGCGAAGCUCUUGAUCGAAGCCCCGGUAAACGGCGGCCGUAACUAUAACGGUCCUAAGGUAGCGAAAUUCCUUGUCGGGUAAGUUCCGACCUGCACGAAUGGCGUAAUGAUGGCCAGGCUGUCUCCACCCGAGACUCAGUGAAAUUGAACUCGCUGUGAAGAUGCAGUGUACCCGCGGCAAGACGGAAAGACCCCGUGAACCUUUACUAUAGCUUGACACUGAACAUUGAGCCUUGAUGUGUAGGAUAGGUGGGAGGCUUUGAAGUGUGGACGCCAGUCUGCAUGGAGCCGGCCUUGAAAUACCACCCUUUAAUGUUUGAUGUUCUAACGUGGACCCGUGAUCCGGGUUGCGGACAGUGUCUGGUGGGUAGUUUGACUGGGGCGGUCUCCUCCUAAAGAGUAACGGAGGAGCACGAAGGUUGGCUAAUCCUGGUCGGACAUCAGGAGGUUAGUGCAAUGGCAUAAGCCAGCUUGACUGCGAGCGUGACGGCGCGAGCAGGUGCGAAAGCAGGUCAUAGUGAUCCGGUGGUUCUGAAUGGAAGGGCCAUCGCUCAACGGAUAAAAGGUACUCCGGGGAUAACAGGCUGAUACCGCCCAAGAGUUCAUAUCGACGGCGGUGUUUGGCACCUCGAUGUCGGCUCAUCACAUCCUGGGGCUGAAGUAGGUCCCAAGGGUAUGGCUGUUCGCCAUUUAAAGUGGUACGCGAGCUGGGUUUAGAACGUCGUGAGACAGUUCGGUCCCUAUCUGCCGUGGGCGCUGGAGAACUGAGGGGGGCUGCUCCUAGUACGAGAGGACCGGAGUGGACGCAUCACUGGUGUUCGGGUUGUCAUGCCAAUGGCACUGCCCGGUAGCUAAAUGCGGAAGAGAUAAGUGCUGAAAGCAUCUAAGCACGAAACUUGCCCCGAGAUGAGUUCUCCCUGACCCUUUAAGGGUCCUGAAGGAACGUUGAAGACGACGACGUUGAUAGGCCGGGUGUGUAAGCGCAGCGAUGCGUUGAGCUAACCGGUACUAAUGAACCGUGAGGCUUAACCUUACAACGCCGAAG